AUAGCAGCCAUUUAGAGGAGAGAUUUGAGCGAGCGAGCGAGAGAGAAUUGAGCGAGACAGAUAUAAGAGUUUCCUUCUCUGUUUUCAUCACUUGGUGGGAAACUUUCGUAAGGUGCCUGAAUCAAUUAUUUCCCGACAUUUUCUUUAGUUUUCUAUAAUCUAAACAUUGUAACUAUCUUUUAUGUGUGUUCCUUCCAAGUUGAAAAUAAUUUGAGGAAAGCAGCUACUAAAACACAUAGAUGGCGAUCAAAGGCAUUCGAUCAAGAAACCGUGAUGACGAAUUCAAUAUCAAACCCAUGGCUGGAAAGGUUUGAUGAAGCUGCAGCAUAGCUCUCUUGAAAGGGGUUUUGAAAGUGGUCUUCUAACUUGCUGCA